rnacentral:rRNA from 1 species
GAUGAACGCUAGCGAUAGGCUUAACACAUGCAAGUCGAGGGGCAGCACAAGGUAGCUUGCUAUCUGGGUGGCGACCGGCGCACGGGUGCGUAACGCGUAUGCAACUUGCCCUAUACAGGAGGAUAACCCGUCGAAAGACGGACUAAUACUGCGUAUGCUCACAACUUGGCAUCAAGUGGUGAGGAAAGAAAUUCGGUAUAGGAUAGGCAUGCGUCCCAUUAGCUUGUUGGUGAGGUAACGGCUCACCAAGGCAACGAUGGGUAGGGGAACUGAGAGGUUUAGCCCCCAAACUGGUACUGAGACACGGACCAGACUCCUACGGGAGGCAGCAGUGAGGAAUAUUGGUCAAUGGGCGCGAGCCUGAACCAGCCAAGUCGCGUGAAGGAUGACUGUCUUAUGGAUUGUAAACUUCUUUUAUACGGGAAUAACAAGAGUCACGUGUGACUCCCUGCAUGUACCGUAUGAAUAAGCAUCGGCUAACUCCGUG